GUGAACGCACCCAAUUACAUUUCAAGUAAAGUAUUAAAUUUCAAAACAAACCGAGAAGACGAUGUGUUAAACUUAUCCACAAAAUCUACAAGGAAUCAUCAUUUGAUGGUCUAAAGUUUGAUCCACCUGAGAUUGAGCGAGCUCUUCUCUUUGCAACUAACAACGCUCUGGUUUGAAGAUGCCAUGAAAGUGCAUUUGAUGCUCUCGCAUUGGAUGGAACUUCCUAUCGGAUAUCUGGAGUAACUUCCAUGUUGUCGCUCGCGAAGCCAAGCAUACCUACUUAUAUGACUCAGUUAAAAAUGCAAAAAGAAAAACACCGAGGAAAUGAAGGAGUUGUUGAAAGCCAAAUUCAGGUUUCGCAAAUUGUCUCAAAUACAUCAGUAUGUUCAAUUUAGAUUCGUCAAAAAAAUCUAGGUAUCCCACAAUUCGAUCGACAGUUGGAGGAUGCCCAGAGCUCGGCAAGGUGGCUAUAAAACUACAAAAAACAGAAUGAAUGAAAAUCAAAUUGAUAUCAACUAAACACUUGACCAUACCGGAAGGGUAUGCGGUAGAGGAACGGGUAAUUGUAUGAACAAAAUUCUAAACUGAAACAUUAAUGUUAAGGCGUGGAACUUUUUUUUAAUCUAAUUACCCGUACCACUACCGCAUACCCGUCCGUUGCGGCCAAGCCUUAAAUCUCGUCGAGAACUUUGCAAAUUUAAAUAUGAUUCACAUUAUUUAAAAAUGCUCUCCGAGAAAAAAGCAAAGGCCGCAUUUGAAAAAGUUUCCAAGGCAAUAGAUAGCACUCAUAAGUCUUUACCAAGAAAUAAAGACGCACAGGCUUAUCUAGGAACCUCAUUUGGAUGGAAUAAGUUAUAAUUAUGUUGCACCAAGAAAACGUUUCAAUCAGUAAUUUGAGUGGUGGUGAGAAAACUAUUGCUGCUUUUUCUAUGUGUACUUUACAACCUGGUCCAUUUUUGUUUCAUCUAUAAACGAGAUCACAUCACAAUGAACCAUCAAACUAUUGCCAUUUCGCUCAAAGAGGAGUUUUAUGUGCAUGCUGUUGCUUUGGUUGGAAUUUCACCAGCUGUGAGUUCUCAUCGAUGGAACAAAACGUGUCAAUGGAGAAACAAAUUCCACACAAGGCGCAAUGAUAACAAUUGUUAAUUAAAAUUAUUUGCGUUUCAAUAAUCCUGCCGAAGCUCAACUUAUACGCAAUUUCAUAGGCAGCAACGAACGAAUCUCGAUGCCACCUUAUAAAACCUAAUUUAAAUGGACUUAAUAUUAAUGCCAGGAUAAUAUUAAAGUCCUACAAAUCAUUUUUUAGAAGGACACUGCCCCGUUUCUCACAAAUGAUGGAUAAAAAUGUGGAAAGAAAGCCAAAGUAAACAAAAACUAAGUUAAAACUUGUCUGCAUCCCUGACACAGUAGUAUCUAAUUGCUGCUUAGUUAAAAAUACAAUAUGUUCGCAUCUAAAAAGUACAAGAAAUAGAUGUUUUUAAAAGUACUAUGGGUGAGGUUAUCCAUGUGUUACGUACUGCAUGUGCGCCCUCCAUUGCAACAACAGCAGCAACAACUUCCGUCACAUCAGCAACAUGCACCGCAGCAACUGCACCAUCAGCAACCUUCUCAAAUGAUUCAUCCACAAAAACAUUCCCAACCACCUCCACAGCAUCAGCAGAAUCCUCUAUACCACCAGGGAAUGCAUCCGCAAAACUUCAAUCUACCGACAUUUGGUAUACCGCCCCCGGGCUGCGGUGGGUAUCAACCUGCAUGGGAUGAGCACAAUCUCCAUGUGGAAUGCAAUGGAAAGAGAUGAAGUCCAAAAACUGAUGGAAGAUGCUCAUCUUAAUGGAAAAUUUUUAUUUAGUGAAUUAAGUCAACGUUAUGGACGCCAAGAUCACAACAAAGCCAUCGAAGAAGUACGUGAACGUUUUUUUCAAAGAGUACAUUGUCGAUUUUCUUCUCAAGAAAGAAGAGGAUAAAAUUCAGAAAAAGAAAAAGCACCCUCAUACUACCACCAUCUUGUUGGGAUGCGUCUGCGAUCUCUUGUGCUAAUCUAUAUGCCAUUGUUUAUUGGUGCUUUGAUUCGUCAUGAAGUCGAAAAGAAGGAUAAAUGGAUUCAAGAGUUUUUGCAAUUUGUCUACAGCAAUUGCUGUUCGGUUGAUCCAAGGCAAAGUGAAUUGAGAUCAUCGAUCUUUGCUUCAUUAACCAUUGUAGCAAUAGAAUAAUUUGUCGCACACACGAGAUCUAUUAGUGAAAUGUUGACUGCUGCUUUAACUGAUAACGAAACCAGUGGAAAUAUGGCUACUCAAGUGAUAUAUAAAAUUUGUAUAAGUAUGACCUAUUUGGUGCCAUUCAUUUUUAUACACAAGAAUGUUGAAUUGACGGACCAGAAGUCGAUUGCUAUGAUUAUUAAGAUUCUUCAAGCUUUUGUCGUCGAGGACUCUGAUAAGGUUAUUCAAACUUUUGGAGUAUCCCCAACUACACUCAACAAACAUUCGUUUGUUGUUGGACUUUCACUUGGAAGCUUCGAAAAACACUCAGUUGGAUAGCUCGGUGCGUGUAAACACUGGCAUCUAUUGGCUGGUUGGUGCGCUUGAAUAAGAAGGUAAUUGUCAGGCAAGAGCUCGUUGAACUCAUCAUUCAGGUUGUCUUGAAUCCAAUUGAGGCAUUACCCUCCAGUGGUGGAGAUGAAAAACAUGGCGCUGACACACCACCGUUGCUGGAAAGGAAAAUAACAUGCAUAUUUUGAUUCUUUCGUGGUUGGCUGCAGCCACUGAAGCAUGCAAUGCUGAAUUUAAAAGUCAAGAGUUUGCUUCGGCAACAAGUGCUUCAUAUUGUUGUAAUAUACCUAGAGUGCUUUAAUGAUCAUUAAAAUAAAUAUAUAUAUAUAAAUUCAAAAUAA